rnacentral:lncRNA from 1 species
GUUUAGGACUGAAGAGGGCAUCAUUGCACUGGAGAAGGCAUUCCAUGUGAUGGAGGGCAGGGCUUAGGGAGGAGAGACAAUGAAGGUCUCUGAGUCUUAGCCCUGGGUUUGAUUGGAGGAAAGGGUGCAGAUGACUGGAAGAGGUGCUGCUCUUGGGAAUAGGAAGACCGUCCUAAAGUGGGGUGGACAAAAGGAUGAAGUCUGAGAGCAUGGACUACUCUGCUUUCCCUGGAUCUCAAAUCUCAUUCCUUUCUUCCCCUGAAUCUGAGAUCUCUCUUCCUCCCCUCCCAACCAAGAUCACUCUGCCUUCCCUUCUAUGUCAGAUCUCUUUGCCUUCCCUGGAGCUGAGAUCACUCUGCAUUCCCUGGAGCCAAGAUCUCUCUGCCUUCUGGACUCCAGUUCUCUGCUUGCAGGUCCCAGGCCUCCUGCCUAGGAAGAGAAGAGAAAGACCUUAUCCCACUGGGAUCUUUCAUCCUGUCCACCUCAGUCUGCAGAGCACCAAGUCCUGGUCCAAACAGGGAGCCUGGAGCCAGAGGGAAUGGCCCCUGGGAGCCAUAGACCCCAACCCAAGUGAGUGCAGUCUUGAGUCCAGACUUGACAACCAACAUAACCUAAUGAGGAUUAGAGUUAGGCUUAGAAAGAGAGGAUGGUCUACGAAGUUGGGAAUACCUUACUUAUGGACUAUUUCUUUACAAAAGCAGGCAUGAAAUUGAAUAAGGCAGUAAAAACACUGCCCUGCUUUCUGCUUCUAUGUGGUAAACUGAUUCACUGGCACUCUGGCAUAUGGAGCAUCAACUCCUCCCUCCUCUGUUUGUUUUGAAGUUCUCCCUCCUUAGUAUAGGUCAGGCAAGUUUCCCAGGUCUCCCUGAAUCCUUCCCCUUUACCCUUUUUUUGAGUCCAGUCAGUAAACAUUUCUUACUGUUGUUGGGUUGUUUUUGUAGUUGUGUCUGACUCUUUGAAGCUUCAUGACCCCAUUUGGGUUGUUUUUGCCAGAUAUCCCUGAGCAGUUUGCCAUUUCUUUCUCCAGCUCAUUUUAUAGAGGAGCAAACUGAGGGAAAUAGGGUUAAAUGACUUGCCCAGGGUCAUACAGCUGGGAAAUCUAGCUGCCCCAAAAAGCU